AUCUAACUGACGAUUCCUAAAUAGGAAGAAAUGCGCAUCGUUGAU
rnacentral:hammerhead_ribozyme from 1 species